UCCACCAGUACAGAGACAAUAGGACGGCCCAUAACACUGCCCUAUUGCAGAAACAAGUGGAGGUCAGUUUCAACAUGUCUACACUGUGGCGAAGCACACAAAAUGGAAGAUAUGAAUCAAGGUGUGUAGGAGCUGUCAGGACUGCAGCGCGGUUGUCUGUUGUCAUCGGGCCAGGUGCUGCCCAGUGAGUGUGUCAGUGGAGCUGGCAGAAGACCCCAACACUAUCCCUGCACUCACAGGAACCAUCAUCUCUCUACUGGUCCAACUUGGUUCUGAUGAGUUCCCAAUGCAUUUCUGUCCUAUAAUGUCUUGACAAGUGAUUGACCUUGUCUUACAGCUAUACUAUGAUGUGUGUGUGUUCUCUCUCCCAGCCUGUGUUGAUGAAAGCAGAGCAGUUAUAACCUGACCAGCACUCUGGCCUCCAUCAUCCACAGUGGCACCCCCAGGGAGCUGUUGGUACUACAGGUGCUACAGAGGCUCACGUACAACACCCGGAUAAUCCACUGUGCCAACUAAAUCUAUGAACGCAGACUUUCUCAUGACCAACAUCUAUUCCAUGCUAAGAACAUCCACCUGACAUUCCAGCUGAUCUUCAACAUCAUCGUCAAUGGCGACGGAACCCUAACCAGGAACCACUCUGUUGACCUACUGGUGGACCUACUGAGGAACCCCAAGAUAGCUGACUACCUGACCAGGUACACACACAAACACACACUCACACACUUUAAUAAAACAAUACAAGUGAUGUCUUCCUCUCUGUAGGUAUGAACACUUCUCAGUGUGCGUGUCCCAGGUGUUGGGUCUGCUACACAUCAAAGACCUGGACUCAGCUGCCAAGGUGUUGGAGCUGCUCCUGGCUCUGUGUGGUUGGUUAGGCCUAAGGUCUCUGCUGUGUGAGGUCGUGUUCCGUCCCGCCGCCCCACGGCUCCGAGCUGCAAGUCGCAGACAGGGGGCGGGCCUAGAUGCAGGCCAGAAAACAGAGCCGGGCUUAGGUCUCAUCCAAUGGCUACAGCUCUCUGGCUGACGGGGAGGAGUCAUGCUGUCCACAGGCGCUGCAGCUGCUGACUGAACUACUGGAGGCACGGCAACCCAACGUGGACGUACAGAACUAAAAGUGGAAGCCUGUAUCUACAUAGCUUCAUCAUCCAGUCUAAAUCGUUGAUAACUCCUUUAAGUGUGUGGUGAGGCGGUGUUGAAGACUUGAUGAGUAAACUGAGACAGAAGGUGAAAGACAUGGAGACCAGCUUCUACAGAAUACUACAGGUACACACACACCUGUGGAGCUGAGCUAAAUGAUUGACACGUUAAAUCUCUCUCCCUGUAGGACCAGAGGAUGGUCACAUUCCUCUCUCUGGCUCUCACGUUCAAUCACUAAGAACAUGUUCAGACCGGGCUUCGUCUACUGUUUGAGGCCACGCCUCUCCCAGACUUUCCUUCACUAGCGUGAGGGACUGAACACAAACAUAAACAAGCACAAAUUAAAUCAAAUGUUAUUUGUCACAUGCUUUGUAAACAACAGGUGUAGACUAACAGUGAAAUGCUUACUUACGGGCCCUUCCCAACAAUGUAGAGAGAAAGAAAAUAUAGAAAAGUAAUAACAUGUAAUGAUAAAAGUAAUAAUAAAUAA